AGAAGCAGAUUUUUCACGAUUAUCCUUGUGUAUUCGGUUUUCGGUCAUGUCAGGAUUGUCGACCAACGUGACAUAAAGUGCAU